UACAGAGGUCUCAAGCGUUGUUCGGAUUCAUUGGGCGUAAAGGGUGUGUAGGUGGCGCCGUAAGUCGGGUGUGAAAUUUCGGAGCUUAACUCCGAAACUGCAUUCGAUACUGCGGUGCUUGAGGACUGGAGAGGAGACUGGAAUUCAUGGUGUAGCAGUGAAAUGCGUAGAUAUCAGGAGGAACACCUGUGGCGAAAGCGGCUCACUGGACCAUAACUGACGCUGAUGCACGAAAGCUAGGGGAGCAAACAGG
rnacentral:rRNA from 1 species